GUGCUCACUUCAGCAACAUAUAUAGUGAAACAAGAAAAGUAGAGAGAAGAUUAGCAUGGCCCCUGAACAAGGAUGACACACAAAUUCAUGAAACAUUCCCUAUUUUU
rnacentral:snRNA from 1 species